rnacentral:rRNA from 1 species
UACGAAGGGGGCUAGCGUUGCUCGGAAUUACUGGGCGUAAAGCGCACGUAGGCGGUCUUUUAAGUCGGGGGUGAAAUCCUGGAGCUCAACUCCAGAACUGCCUUUGAUACUGGAGAUCUUGAGUCCGGAAGAGGUAAGUGGAACUGCGAGUGUAGAGGUGAAAUUCGUAGAUAUUCGCAAGAACACCAGUGGCGAAGGCGGCUUACUGGUCCGGAACUGACGCUGAGGUGCGAAAGCGUGGGGAGCAAACAGGG